GGGAAUUAAUCUAGAAGUCCAUCAAUGAAAAUAGAUAUUACUUUAAAGUGACACUAUAGUCAUCAGAACAACUACAGCUUAAUGUAGUUCGUGUGUGCGCGUGUUUUUAUGUCCUUAAAUGAUUUUAAAUGUAAACACUGCUUUUUUAGAGAGAAGAGUGUUUACAUUGCUGCCUAGUAACACCUCUAGUGGCAGUCACUCAGACAGAAAUUAGAGGUGCUUCCUCCGUUAGCGCUGGACACUGCAGCACUGACCUUCAGCGUCUCGACUUUUUGCAUGCUGAUUGGUGCAGCGUAUUAGCCUCCCAAUGCUUUUAUAAAGCAUUGGAUCGGCUGAGAUUGUGUAAUGUGACGAUCUCAGUUAAGGCAUCUGAGCCUGUGCUAGCUGACCCUCACAGCACCGAAAUAAAGAUACGUUUUUAACCCUUUUUAAGGUUGAAUUGGGCACUUAAAAUGUGUUUUUAACACUAUAGGGUCAGGAAUACAUGUUUGUAUUCCUGACCAUGUAGUGUUCCUUUUAAAAAAAAAAAAGAAAAACAAAAAACAUUACCCGAUCUCUUGCAAAACAUGUUUACAAAAUUAAAAUGCAGAAACUGUGGAGCUCUACAGCGUUCUAAGUCUACAUAUUGGCUUCUUUGCAGAUCUAUGUUAAGGUUUAGCAGAGCUAUGUUUUUUCUUUAACCCCUUAAGGACACAUGACAUGUGUGACAUGUCAUGAUUCCCUUUUAUUCCAGAAGUUUGGUCCUUAAGGGGUUAAACGAAAGUGUGCUGCUGGCCUGAAGAUAUUAGUUGCUUUGACCUGAAUGGCAUUGGCUUAGCAGGUCCAGUAAACCCUGCUAAACAUGAGCGAAGUGUUAAGUUCCAAAUAAGCAUUUUUUUUUUUUCCCAGGAAGAAUGCCAAGAGCCUUUUCAAGGCACAUCCAUGUGAGCUGGGGCUGCAGAAAUAGUAAUUUUAACUUAAAUAGCAGAGGAUUGAGAAGUGAAACUGCAGGGUUAUUCUCUCCCCGCCAAAACCAUUUCAUUAUGUUAAAAUGGUUUUGUUGCUUAGACUGUUGAUUUAACUAUUUAAACCUGUUGUACCUCAAGUUCAGUGUUAUCACAGUAUGUCAGAGGCAUGUAUUCAUUAAAGGGACACUAUAGUAACCAGAACCACUACAGCUUAUUGAAUUUGUUCUUGUCAGGCUUUUUGCCAUAAACACUGUCUUUUCAGAGAAAAAACAGUGUUUACAUUACAACCUAGUGAUAACUUCACUGGCCACUCCUCAGAUGGCUGUUACAGAUCCUUCCUGGGUCAUGGCUGCCUAAAAUGCAUUCAAAAAUUCCGUAUCUGCCUCUUUGUCAGUUUCAGCCAAUCCUAUGGGAAAGCACUGUGAUUGGAUCAGGCUACCACUUCUGAUGCUAUCAGCAGACUGCUUGUUUUUCUGAGUCAAACAGCAUGCAGAGUUACAGCUUCAAGCUUGAAUACAGGGGGGCUGUGAUAGUGCUAGAUAGUGUUUUAACACUAUAGGGCCAGGAAUACAUGUUUGUGUUCCUGACCCUAUAGUGAUCCUUUAAGGC